GAUGAACGCUGGCGGCGUGCCUAAUACAUGCAAGUCGAGCGAACAGACGAGAAGCUUGCUUCUCUGAUGUUAGCGGCGGACGGGUGAGUAACACGUGGAUAACCUACCUAUAAGACUGGGAUAACUUCGGGAAACCGGAGCUAAUACCGGAUGAUAUUUUGAACCGCAUGGUUCAAAAGUGAAAGACGGUCUUGCUGUCACUUAUAGAUGGAUCCGCGCUGCAUUAGCUAGUUGGUAAGGUAACGGCUUACCAAGGCAACGAUGCAUAGCCGACCUGAGAGGGUGAUCGGCCACACUGGAACUGAGGCACGGUCCAGACUCCUACGGGAGGCAGCAGUAGGGAAUCUUCCGCAAUGGGCGAAAGCCUGACGGAGCAACGCCGCGUGAGUGAUGAAGGUCUUCGGAUCGUAAAACUCUGUUAUUAGGGAAGAACAUAUGUGUAAGUAACUGUGCACAUCUUGACGGUACCUAAUCAGAAAGCCACGGCUAACUACGUG
rnacentral:rRNA from 1 species